rnacentral:rRNA from 1 species
CCUACGGGUGGCAGCAGUGGGGAAUAUUGGACAAUGGGGGGAACCCUGAUCCAGCCAUGCCGCGUGUGUGAAGAAGGCCCUCGGGUUGUAAAGCACUUUCAGUGAGGAAGAACGCCUGGUGGUUAAUACCCAUCAGGAAAGACAUCACUCACAGAAGAAGCACCGGCUAACUCCGUGCCAGCAGCCGCGGUAAUACGGAGGGUGCGAGCGUUAAUCGGAAUUACUGGGCGUAAAGCGCGCGUAGGUGGCUUGAUAAGCCGGUUGUGAAAGCCCCGGGCUCAACCUGGGAACGGCAUCCGGAACUGUCAAGCUAGAGUGCAGGAGAGGAGGGUAGAAUUCCCGGUGUAGCGGUGAAAUGCGUAGAGAUCGGGAGGAAUACCAGUGGCGAAGGCGGCCUUCUGGACUGACACUGACACUGAGGUGCGAAAGCGUGGGUAGCAAACAGGAUUAGAUACCCGAGUAGUC